rnacentral:rRNA from 1 species
UGAUACGUAGGGUCCGAGCGUUGUCCGGAAUUAUUGGGCGUAAAGGGCUUGUAGGCGGUUUGUUGCGUCGGAAGUGAAAACUCAGGGCUUAACCCUGAGCCUGCUUCCGAUACGGGCAAACUAGAGGGAUGCAGGGGAGAAUGGAAUUCCUGGUGGAGCGGUGGAAUGCGCAGAUAUCAGGAGGAACACCGGUGGCGAAGGCGG